UUUUGCAGUUAGGGUUUUGUGAAUUGAUUAUUUCAAGGGUUUUGACUAUUUUUAUCGUUGGGGUUUUACUAUGAUGCAAUGCACUUUGGGGAUUUUAGUUGGUAGUGAAGCUUGAGUUAUGGGAAAUUGGAACCCAGAGGAGACAUUUUGAUGGAUGUUCUUAAAUGGGUUUCACUGUGUGGGUGCGAUAUGUAAAUGAUGCUUUGGAUGAAUUUGAAAUUUUGAACUUCCGGGCAAAAUUUGAGCUCUUUGAUGGGCUUUCCUCCCAUUUGUUAUUAGUUUUAUCAUCGG
rnacentral:misc_RNA from 1 species